CACUCGCGAGCCGCGAGCUUCAAGAGGGGGACGCGUUGGGAACAUUUGCUGCAAGAAGCCAACUACCGGAGCCGCCAGGCGUCGUGUGGAGUCGCGGGUGUUGAUUAAAGAAGGAAUUGGCCAGGUGAUGGCGAGCUAGACCCAAAGAAUUCUAGGCCCACACCGCCUGAAGAACCCUGGAGCUCGAACUGAAGUGAACUGAACUGGACCUCUUGCACCUUCUCCACCUGGUUGGGCUGGUAGGAGGCUCCUUUAAGGUAGCCGCCCCUCUCUUUUACUUUUUUGCCUCUCGUAACAACUCAUUCUUGGCCCAAACCCAUUCACCACUCGUUCAACACUCCCUUUCCCUGGACACUGCCCUUUCCCUCUGGACGAUUUGGGCCACUGAACUGUUGCGUGUGUUCUAUCUCGGCUGAACUUCAGAACUCUUUCGCGCGUCUAAUGGAUCGUUUCUCGCGUGUUAAUGGAUCCAUCGAAUAAUGUUUUUUUGUGAAAUAAUUGUGACUUAAUUCUGCACUUCUCAUGAAUGGCCAUUCACUUUAAAUGUGAAAUGUUGUUUGCCGAUGUCAAAAUAUAAUAUAAUUGGUACCACCUAAAACUUACAUCAUUGUGUUCAGUCUCCUUUCCUCCACUCCUAGAGCCGAACUUAGAUCUGUCUGAUCUCUAGCCCAAUUCAACCAAUACUGUAACUGCAAACUAGUACCAAUACAGCGCUAAUAGUAGCAGCAUAUAGGCUACAGUUGAUUAAAAAGUUCCAGGACUUUUUGUGGGCUUGAUUUACACCAUGCUAUCAACAGCAGUACCUGUUUUUGUGAUCAGUAGUAGAUGCGCAGUUGCCUCCAUGGACCAUGAAUCAUCCUUCAUGUUGACGAUCAUCAUGGUGGGUCUGCAGCGACCAUCAACUGCAGCCGGAAGUCUCCAAAUCAGGCAAGGUGCAACGGUAGCAUGUUCGCUGUUUUCUUCAGCAUUUAAGUGCUUGUACACCAAGAAUUAACGUCCCAGUAUCAGACCAUCGAAACAGAGUUCUAGUGUAACACACUGAGGUUUCUAUUGAAGAAGAUUUCACGACUCGCGACACCAUUUUAACAAACACGAUAUUUCCUUACAUUGUUUUGCAGAUGAUGUGCAAGUAGCCCCAAAACUACAGGUUUGUUGCAGCCACUGCUAAACUGCCUAGAAGACCUCAAAUCAUGGUUGGACAUUAAUUUUCUUUGUCUCAACAACACUAAUACAGAGAUUGUUGUUUUUAGCCAUCCAGACCAAUCAAUAGACUUGAUCAGUGCCCUUGGCCCUCUCGAUGUUUAUAAUCGACUGUCUUCAAAUAAUCUGGGUGUGAUUUUUGACAGUGCUUUUAAAUUUGACAAACAGAUCAGUUCUGUUGUCAAAAUCGGCUUCUUUUACUCGAGGCUGUUGGCCAAAGUGAAGCCUUAUCUGUCCCACAAUGACUUUAUCACAUCUAGGCUAGACUAACUCUUUGUAUGUGGGUCUUGAUCAGAUGUCUCUUUGUUGGCUCCAGCUGGUACAAAAUGCUGCUGCCUGGCUUCUAACAAGGACAAAGAAACGGGAGCACAUCACUGCAGUUUUAGCUUCGCUCCAUUGCCUUUCUGUCUGCUUCAGAAUUGUUUUGAAGACUUUAUUGCUUAUUUUUAAAGGUGUUAAAUGGGUUGGCACCUUCUUAUUUAUCUGAGCUUUUACACGUUCUUGCUCCAGUUUUAGCGCUGAGGUCGGCCAAUCAGAUAAUCCUCAAAGUUCCCAGUUCCCAACUCAGAAACAGAGGGGAUAUAGCCUUUUCUGUCUCUGCACCUAGUCUGUGGAAUCACUUCUCUGUUCUUGAUACCUUCAAGUGCCUACUGAAGGCAUAUGUACUCUCUAACUUUUAACUGUAGUUAAGUUUGACACCUUGACAUAUGUCAUUGUUUAUCAUGCUCUGUAUAUUUCCUCACAGCAUUCUGUUUUGUUUCAAUGUUGAGCUUGUUAAGCCUUUGAUCAACCUUUGGUUGUUUAUAAAUCUGCUAUAUAAAUAAAGUUGACUUGACUAGAACUGUGAUGCAAUGACAUAUGAGGGCACCAAUGCGUUAAUUAUUCGUCACUCCCUAAAGGCUUCUUGUGACUACUUCUUCUUGCACAAAAUUAAUUUCAAUUUGAACGAUCUGGGUUCUGACACAGUUUAGAAGAUUCAGUGUGCAUCAUACAUAGGGGCUUUAUGUUUACUUCAUGUAAAUUCCACACAAAUAGGCACUUGAUCAAAUUACCCCAAAGUAAUAGUCACACGGUGAAAAUAGGACUUUCCAGUCCCUUGAGGUGUUGGGUAGUUGCACAGUCGCCAUGAAGGCAGAACCCAAGAAAAAAUAGGGUUUUCUUUACUCUUUUAUAUGAAUUGAACUAGAUUAAUAGAGCCUAGAGAUCAGUGUGUGUGUUUUAAAAAAAUAACUUUUCCUUUAUCUCUCUAUCUCAUUGUGUCUUACCUUUGAGGAACAAUUUGGUGUUGAUGGAUGGGUCAACAAAGCAUGCAACUUUGACGCUGAUGCCAUUUUGUUUUCUAAAAACAUACGAUGCAAGUGUUGACAAUUUGUUGUUGAACCUUAGCCGAGUAAUUUUUUGUUUGUUUACUUCAUUGAUUCAUAAAGCAGUUGCUCAUUGGUGCCUAAAAUUGGCCAAACCUUGAUAUCAGUUUUGGAAUGCACUAUCAAAUGAUCUAUCUAAUGAACUAUCCUCAGAUCAGAAAACAAAUGGUUCAUUUUAAAAGGGGAUUUUUAAAAAAACAAACAAAAAAAAAACUAUCAUAUUAUUUAGUUUGGAACAACUCAUUGCAUCUGACAGCAUUUAUUGACUUUUUAAAGCACAGCUCAAAGUGUAUUUUUAUACUUGAAGUCUAUUUCCUUCUGUUUUAGAGUGCUAGAUGUGCUUUUCAUUUUGUUGUACAGUGCAAAGGUUCAUUUGUGAAGCUACUGUAAUCCUAUUCUGUGACAGCUUGAUGAUUUCUAACACUAUUAAACCUGCCUUUGUACUCAAGCUGCAUAUUAAUUCAUUGACUGAACCUUGGUGACAAACAACAGAUUGAUUGAACAGUGAAGCGUUUUGUUGUACUUCUGCACAAUGAUAAUAAAGUCUCUUUAUCUUUAAGAAUUAUGGUUUCCUGUACUUCAUU